rnacentral:rRNA from 1 species
UACGUAGGUGGCAAGCGUUGUCCCGAUUUACUGGGUGUAAAGGGCGCGUAGGCGGGUGUGCAAGUCAGGUGUGAAAUCCAUGGGCUCAACCCAUGAACUGCACUUGAAACUGCAUAUCUUGAGUAUCGGAGAGGCAAGCGGAAUUCCGUGUGUAGCGGUGAAAUGCGUAGAUAUACGGUGGGACACCAGUGGCGAAGGCGGCUUGCUGGACGACAACUGACGCUGAGGCGCGAAAGCGUGGGGAGCAAAC